UUUCCGCCAGAGAACUACAAGUGAAAAACUUAAAACUCAAAGGACUUGACGGUGCCCCACAUCGGCCUAGAGGAGCCUGUCCUGUAAUCGAUACUCCCCGCUCCACCCGACCUUAACUAGUACAUAUACCAGCCUAUAUACCGCCGUCGAUCAGUCUACCCCAUGAGGGUCCAACAGUAGACACAAUAGCCAAGUCGCUAGUACGUCAGGUCAAGGUGUAGCAAAUGUUAAGGAAGAGAUUGGCUACAUUUUUUAUGAUAAAAAACACGAAUAACACCAUGAAACAGUGCAUGAAGGUGAAUUUAGUAGUAAAACAAACAAGAGAGUUUAUUUUAACAACGCCCUGGGACGCGUACACACCGCCC
rnacentral:rRNA from 1 species